CCUGCAGGAUAGUGUGUAUCGGCUUAACGCUUUUUUGUGCGUCUUGUGCCGAAAGUGUUUCCUGCUAUAUUGAUCUGGGGAAAGUGGGCAGUUGGGUUAAGCUUUUGUGCUUUUUUCAACAAUCAUUUUCCUCUCAUUU
rfam:Oryza nivara chromosome 6, whole genome shotgun sequence.